rnacentral:rRNA from 1 species
GACGAACGCUGGCGGCGUGCUUAACACAUGCAAGUCGAACGGAAAGGCCCUGCUUGCAGGGUAUUCGAGUGGCGAACGGGUGAGUAACACGUGGGUGAUCUGCCCUGCACUUCGGGAUAAGCCUGGGAAACUGGGUCUAAUACCGGAUAGGAGCCAUUUUUAGUGGGAUGGUUGGAAAGUUUUUUCGGUGUUGGAUGAGCUCGCGGCCUAUCAGCUUGUUGGUGGGGUAAUGGCCUACCAAGGCGGCGACGGGUAGCCGGACUGAGGGGGUGGACGGCCACAUUGGGACUGAGAGACGGCCCAGACUCCUAAGGGGGGCAGCAGGGGGGAAUAUUGCACAAUGGGCGCAAGCCUGAUGCAGCGACGCCGCGUGGGGGAUGACGGCCUUCGGGUUGUAAACUCCUUUCGCUAGGGACGAAGCUUUUUGUGACGGUACCUAGAUAAGAAGCACCGGCUAACUACGUG